UACGGAAGGCAGCAGGGGGGAAUAUUGCACAAUGGGCGCAAGCCUGAUGCAGCCAUGCCGCGUGUAUGAAAAAGGCCUUCGGGUUGUAAAGUACUUUCAGUCGUGAGGAAGGUGUUAAGGUUAAUAACCUUAGCAAUUGACGUUAGCGACAGAAGAAGCACCGGCUAACUCCGUGCCAGCAGCCGCGGUAAUACGGAGGGUGCGAGCGUUAAUCGGAAUUACUGGGCGUAAAGGGCACGCAGGCGGUUAAUUAAGUUGGAUGUGAAAUCCCCGGGCUUAACCUGGGAAUGGCAUUCAAGACUGGUUAGCUAGAGUCUUGUAGAGGGGGUAGAAUUCCAUGUGUAGCGGUGAAAUGCGUAGAGAUGUGGAGGAAUACCGGUGGCGAAGGCGGCCCCUGGACAAAGACUGACGCUCAUGUGCGAAAGCGUGGGGAGCAAACAGGGAUUAGAUACC
rnacentral:rRNA from 1 species